ACAUGGAAGUCUCCAAGCCUGUGCCAUCCACCUGCCAAGGAAAAGCACAAGGCAGUAGAGCGAGGGAAGCUGCACUGGCUGAGAGGCUGUGGAACCGGAUGAAAAAGCAGCCCCUGAGUCCUGUGGCGUUGGCUCAUACAGUUUGAACAUUUAUUCGCCUCCUGAGCUUGUACAACAGUCGUGGGAGUUGCUGCAGAAGCAAGCGAAAAGCCAGAUGAGCGCUUCUAAACUUAGAGAGAGGGAGAGCGCCUCAUCUCUUCCAUUUUCCAGGUAUUCCUGAGAUGAUUUAUUGGAGCUCAAAGCUUUGGGCAAAUGCGGGGUGGCUGAUCACCUGGCAGACAUCUUAGGAAACAGGAGCACCGGUCUGGGAAACUGCUGGCCUGGCCUAACACCUGGCGCUGUGGUGCAGGAGGGCAGCCACUGAGGAUUCUUGAGGAGAGAGAGACCAUAGAAUGAAUGAAAGAGUUGGAAAGACUUUAAAGCUCUGGGAGGCUGAAUCCUUUAUUUCGCUGGAAGAAAAACUGAAUGCCAAGAGGGCCUCACUUUCCCCAAAGCUAUACAGCCAUCAGGGGCAAUGCUGGGAUUCCCCCAUGGAUCUCUUGACUCCUAAUACAGUGCUCUUUCUGAUAUGCCAUCUGGCUCCAUAAUGAACAUUGUGUUCCAGGAAAAUCAGUCUGCGCUGAACAGGAUGGAAUUGGGGCAGGACGUCCAGUGAGGAGGACAUUGAGGCAGUAGAGCAGUUGAUUGCCGAAUGACCACCUACCCUGACUUAAAAGAUCAACCUCAGGGAGGAUUGGAGCUUUCUAGAGUCUCUUGGGACAGCAGAAGCACAGGCCGGGUUGGACUGAAUCUUUAAGUGGACAUGAGGGACAAAGUACCUCCUGUUGGUAAACAUCUCACCACCAACCCACUGUGGUGGCUAAAAUCCCACCUUUAGUCCCAGCAACAUAUGAGCAUGUCACCAGGAGGUCUUCACAGGCCUGUCUGCCACCUGAGUGUAGACAUCUUUUGGCCCUGGAGCCCAGAGAGGCUGAAUGUGGAGAGGGUGGAGAGAGGUCUGUAGUCCUCAGAGAAGACUUGCAGCUUUUUCAGAGCCACCAACCCAUAAAAAAAAAAAUCCCCAAACAGAAAAAUCCUAACUGUGGUGACCAGGUACCUCCUGAGACAUGAAGCCUCCACUUACCUGGACCCUGGAGGCCUCUCCGGGCACAGCUGCCAAUGUUGAUCUUAGAUAAGACCACCAGCAAGUAAACAUCCACUGUGCAAAGCUGUGUUAUCUUUGGGGAACUGAAAUGUCCCCUGGGAGUUGGAAACUCCCCUAGCCACAUACCACAGAGUUGAGGAAGGAAGAGCUGAUGGACGGAAGAACCAUGGCGGGAGGAGUCAUCCGGAAGCUACCUCGCUGCCCUGUCAGUUACGGAACAGAGGAGAGAUGCCGGCUGGAGGACACAGCAAAUUUGAACCAAGAGGAGCUUGGAGGAAGCCCGAGCGACCUGGAGGGGACUGGCUGACCUUCCUCAUUCUUUUCAAGUGUGAAUAAUAACCAAGCCCAGUUUGGCAACUCCUUGAGGGUGAGGACGAAGCCCCAUUCUCCUUUUUGGAACUUGGUGGGGCUCAGGAAGCAGGUUCUCUCCAGUCGGUGGCUUUCCUUUCUGUUGCGGGUCUCUUGAGGGCCUGCCUUCAUGAAGGCACAUGAGUGACUCAUCAUUUGUGAAUUAAUUGCUAUAUGUGAAGGGCAUCUGAGAACAAAUUAUCUUCAUAGACUUUUCAUUAUAAUUUUAUUUGUACUGA
rnacentral:lncRNA from 10 species